rnacentral:rRNA from 1 species
CGAGAGAGAGCUUGCUUUCUCAAGCGAGUGGCGAACGGGUGAGUAACGCGUGAGGAACCUGCCUCAAAGAGGGGGACAACAGUUGGAAACGACUGCUACUACCGCAUAAGCCCACGGGUCGGCAUCGACCAGAGGGAAAAGGAGCAAUCCGCUUUGAGAUGGCCUCGCGUCCGAUUAGCUAGUUGGUGAGGUAACGGCCCACCAAGGCAACGAUCGGUAGCCGGACUGAGAGGUUGAACGGCCACAUUGGGACUGAGACACGGCCCAGACUCCUACGGGAGGCAGCAGUGGGGAAUAUUGCACAAUGGGGGAAACCCUGAUGCAGCGACGCCGCGUGGAGGAAGAAGGUCUUCGGAUUGUAAACUCCUGUUGUUGAGGAAGAUAAUGACGGUACUCAACAAGGAAGUGACGGCUAACUACGUGCCAGCAGCCGCGGUAAAACGUAGGUCACAAGCGUUGUCCGGAAUUACUGGGUGUAAAGGGAGCGCAGGCGGGAAGACAAGUUGGAAGUGAAAUCUAUGGGCUCAACCCAUAAACUGCUUUCAAAACUGUUUUUCUUGAGUAGUGCAGAGGUAGGCGGAAUUCCCGGUGUAGCGGUGGAAUGCGUAGAUAUCGGGAGGAACACCAGUGGCGAAGGCGGCCUACUGGGCACCAACUGACGCUGAGGCUCGAAAGUGUGGGUAGCAAACAGGAUUAGAUACCCUGGUAGUCCACACCGUAAAC